GACGAACGCUGGCGGCGUGCUUAACACAUGCAAGUCGAACGGAAAGGCCUGUCCUUCCUUGUGUUGGACGGGUACUCGAGUGGCGAACGGGUGAGUAACACGUGAGUGAUCUGCCCCCAACUUGGGUAUAAGCCUGGGAAACUGGGUCUAAUUCCCGAUAGGACUGCAGGGUGGUGCCUGUGGUGGAAAACGAUUUUCUAGUGGUUGGGGAUGAGCUCGCGGCCUAUCAGCUUGUUGGUGGGGUAAUGGCCUACCAAGGCGGCGACGGGUAGCCGGCCUGAGAGGGUGGACGGCCACAUUGGGACUGAGAUACGGCCCAGACUCCUACGGGAGGCAGCAGUGGGGAAUAUUGCACAAUAGGCGGAAGCCUGAUGCAGCGACGCCGCGUGGGGGAUGACGGCCUUCGGGUUGUAAACUCCUUUCGACCGCGAGGAAGCCGCCUGGUUGGAAGGGUGGUGACGGUAGUGGUAGAAGAAGCACCGGCUAACUACGUG
rnacentral:rRNA from 1 species